GUUGCCAGCUACUGUCCUCUUGGGGACAAGGAUUCAAGUCCACACAACAUCACUCGGGUAAUGCUUUUCCUCUUGGUGUCAUGCAUUAGGCUUCUGCUGCUGAGUCCAAGAACAGAAAAGGUGUCUGUACUUCAAGUCCAGAAAUAAAAAAGAAAGUAUGAAGCCUUCAAAAUACUUUCUAAAAUAGAAGGAAAAACUGGAGAAUGGGACAUCCAAAGCACUCAGAACUUGACACAACUUCUGAAGGUGCUCAAGAAGCCAGAUGCUCAUAACUACGUGGUGCCAUUGAAAAGCUGUGCAAAAUGAACUGCUGCCCUUGCUGCAGAUACCCAGCACAGAAGUCCCACCUACAAAACCCCUUCAGGACUAGAGUCAGACCAGCUCUGCAAAGGAGAACAGACAUAAGGGGAGCGGAGAACAGACACUUCUGCUGUCUGCUGAACCUGAGAAAUCCAGGUCAGCCAGAACCAGCUGAGAGGUUUGAGUUUGGGAUGGGGGUAUUUGUAUUUCAUGAAGCCCAACAAGCAGUUCAAGGCUAACAAUGUCCAGGCAUCAACGUUGUGCAUUUGAAGAAACAGCCAAAGGCAAAUCAAUCUCCAGUUCCAAACAAGUCCUCUUCUAAACCCAACACAAUUACACUUAGAAAAGUCCAAAGAAAAAAAAUUUAUCUUGCAUUUCAUGUUUCACACUCAGUUCUAAAAGCCUUUCAUCAAUAUUUCCAGGUAAGUUUCAUUACUCUAUACAGCCCCAGAAAACAGCUUAUUCAGUUUUGUAUGUAAGCUGCUCCCUAUUGGAGAAAAAAUAUUAAAAAUGCUUAACUGCAAUUGGCUAUACUUUGCACUCAUGCUAGAAAAAUGCUUAUUGAGCCAGAAAGUAACACAAAAGUGAAAACCCCCAGAAAGCCAGCUAUUUCACUAUAUGCAAUGCAUUCACUUUACAGCCUAAAAAUUGUUUAAAAAUGAACACUGCAUGGUAGAGCAGUUUGGCAGUAAACAUGAUUGUGCAUUUGUGUCUUGGUAUUGAAGAAGGAGCCUUUUUUCAUAGUGAAUUUUUCAUUCAAAUGUAAGUGAUGAUUUACGUUAAAUAUAGGUAAAGCAUAGCUACAUUUUCCUGAAGGAUUGCAAGGAAGUGAAGAGCAGUACAAUAAGUUGAAGCAUAAAAGCUUUCUCUGUCAUAAUAUUUAUUAUAAUGGCAUAUAAAAUAGCUGAAAUAAAUAAUAGAUGACUAAAAGUAAAUUCAUAUGAUAAAGAAUCUUUCAGCAGACACCAUUACUUCUGACUGCUCCAGUUUCCUACAGAGUUGAAGAGUCUUAAUAAAUAUGCUGUAGCCUCUGUAUCUUAUGUAAGUACAAGUCAUUUUGUGAGGGCCUACUUAAAAUGUACCAGAGUGGACACUACACAAUUUACUGUAGAAUUUUACUCUCAGAAAAUAGUGUGUGUACAUCUUCAAUGUUUAAAAGUCCUUAAUUCGAAACUGAAUACUUGGCACAAUAACAGGAAUAUCUGACUUUGAGGAACUGAAAGUACAAUCAAUUGGUAAAAAGUGGUUUAAUUUAAUACAGAAAAAUCUUCAUGACAACGUCUUGGAAUGCAGAUAGUUCUGACAGGCUGUCUGAGAAAGAAAAUCUUGGGUGAAAAAAAAAGAAUUUUAUAUCAAAGCUGAUGAAAAAUCUGUGGAAUUAUCUGGAUAUAGGUAAACAAAUAACCAAAUCUCAGCACAUGACAAGCAAUGCCCACAUAAACUCAUAUUUCCACGUUGAGGAUGGAGCAGGGGAUGUUUUAGAAGCACAUCUGACAAUUUGACACAUGGCUUAUGACAGUCAAUAGCCAGUGCCAUGCACUAUUUAUGGGGGUACCUAAUGGGGAAAAAGGCUUUCACUCAGGAUUAGGACUGCAAAUGUUAUUGUCCCUAAUGUAGUCAACAUUUGGUACUUCAUGCAAAACUGUAUUUAUGCAAUGGC